UACUCCCCAAGAAAAUUGCAGGAAACUUAUAUGCUUGAAGCUCCCUGGUCAGUACGAUACUGUAAGUUAUUCAAAGGACUAAUUGGCUGACUUUGACCAACACUUCCAAGUUUCUGGCUUCUAAUUAAUUGCGGGACAUGACCUACUGUUCAUUUUAUCACUUAGCAAGACUUUUAUCGCUCCCCAUCUCUGUAUAUAUACAUAAUACAAAUGCUUGAUCAAAUUGGAAGAGAGAUGAUGGGGAGGUUCUUUAAGAGCGCGGCUGUUUUUGCUUUGGUCGUAGCUUAUAUCAUGUUAUCAAUGAAUUCGUGGUCUCUGUCAGUCGAAGCAAGAAUUCCUCAGUUCUCAGCUACUGCAGGUGCAAAAUUUUUCCUUACUUCAAUUUCUUAAUUUAUUCAUUAACGGUAUGCGACACUCAAUAAACAACAGCCAAUUAAGCUAACGCUAGUUUCUCUUUUUCUGCUUUGAGUGAUGCCAGACAUACGACGGAGUGCCAGGGAAGAAGCCCCUGCCUUGGAACCUCCGAUACCAAAUGUUGGAAAUAGACAUGGAUGACCUAAGUUUCCCGUUACAAAAAUAGCAUAAAAGAAGAAUAGAAGAAAAGCUGCAUAUGUGGUAUCUGCCCUACAGAUGAAUUCAAAGGCAUCAUGGCAGUGUACAACACUUUGCAUAUACUAUUAAUGCAAAGCUUUCUAAUUUUAUCUUCUUCCCAGAACAACUCUGGAGGCUUCAUGUUGUUUAAUGAAAUAAAAUCGCAACAUUCGCCUUUUCUCUAUACAUCUGUGCUCAUUCCUGCUGUAAUCACCCUCCUGAUGUCAGAAUUCUUGCC
rnacentral:lncRNA from 1 species